rnacentral:rRNA from 1 species
AAUAUUGGACAAUGGGCGAAAGUCUGAUCCAGCCAUGCCGCGUGUGUGAAGAAUGUCUUCGGUUUGUAAAGCACUUUAAGUUGGGAGGAAGGCGUUGAAGCUAAUACCUUCAAUCUGUGACGUUAUCAACAGAUUAAGCACCGGCUAACCCUGUGCCAGCAGCCGCGGUAAUACUGAGGGUGCAAGCGUUAAUCGGAAUUACUGGGCGUAAAGCGCGCGUAGGUGGUUCAGUAAGAUGGAAGUGAAAUCCCCGGGCUUAACCUGGAAACUGCUUUCAUAACUGCUGAGCUAGAGUACGGUAGAGGGUAGUGGAAUUUCCUGUGUAGCGGUGAAAUGCGUAGAUAUAGGAAGGAACACCAGUGGCGAAGGCGACUACCUGGACUGAUACUGACACUGAGGUGCGAAAGCGUGGGGAGCAAACA